GAUGAAGAACGUAGCGAAAUGCGAUACUUGGUGUGAAUUGCAGAAUCCCGUGAACCAUCGAGUCUUUGAACGCAAGUUGCGCCUCAAGCCAUUAGGUUGAGGGCACGUCUGCCUGGGCGUCACAUAUCGUUGCCUGAUGCCAGUUUCCUCGUGAUGGGUGACUGUGCAGGGCGAAUGAUGGCUUCCCGUGAGCAUUGUUGCCUCAUGGUUGGUUGAAAAUUGAGUCCUUGGUAGGGAGCGCCGUGAUAGAUGGUGGUUGAGUGACGAACGAGACCCAAUCAUGUGAGACCCCUACCGAAUUUGGCCUUCAUGACCCACAUGCGUCUUUGGAACGCUCAUGACGAGACCUCAGGUCAGGCGGGGCUACCCGCUGAGUUUAAGCAUAUCAAUAAGCGGUGGA
rnacentral:misc_RNA from 1 species